rnacentral:lncRNA from 1 species
GGAGCAGCUUCGGCGGCGUUACCUAUUUCCUCCUGAAGUGGAGCUGGACUGCGAGGAGGAGGCCAAGAGACACCCACAGCUGUUGAGAGAAAGGAGAGGCCUCUUCCAAGACUUAACAUUCACUCUGGAUUCUGGAUUUUGGCGUCCAUCAUUGUGACCUAUUACGUUGAUUUCUUUAAAACCUUUAAAGAAAAUUUUCACACCAAUAGUUGGUUUCUCUUUGGUGGGGCCUUGUUGUUUGUCAGCCUGUCAAUUGCAUUUUACUGCAUAGUCUAUCUGGAAUGGUAUCGUGGGAUUGAAGAAUAUGAUGUCAAGUACCCAACGCUGGUGCCCAUCACAACUGCAACUUUCAUCGCAGCAGGGGUCUGCUUCAACCUGGCUCUGUGGAAUGUGUGGUCAUUUUUCACUCCCUUGCUGCUGUUCACCCAGUUUAUGGGGGUCGUGAUGUUCAUCUCCCUCCUCGGAUGAGCUCCAGGUAAGAUACCUGUUUCUCACGGUGAGCUGUGGAACCUUGCAGUCCCUUCUUGAGAGCCCCCUGACAGGCUGCCUGGGAAUCACUUCCUGUUGUGUCUGUGCUGUAGCGUUUCACCAGUGAGCACAGCUGCAAGGACUGAGGCCCCCUCCCAGUUUUAAGUGCUCGAUUUUCAGAGACAGCAUCAUGCCUUUCAAAGAACGAGUAAAGACAGCAUGUUCGUCUUAAUGUAGAUAAGCUCACAAGAGGCCAUUUUUCCUUGUGUGCAUGACUGUUGGCGGGAUGGCUCUUAGAAGUAGUAUGGGAAUCAGGAGAUCCUAGCCAGCUGGGGACAGUUCUGCCAUUUUCUAUAGAUAUUGGAUGAAUGGUACCCUAGCCCUUUUUAAAAAAUUCUUUUCAGGGACCGAAGACAUGGCUCACUGGUGAAGAUCACUGGUUCCUCUUGCAGAGGACCUGCU